UUUGUUACGGAACUGCUUGUUUCUCAGUGGGCCGCGCCGGCUGGCUCAUCGGAUUCUCUGGGUGUGGUCCCAUCCCUGGCCCGCAGUCCGCACAAUCGAUAACAACAAAGCUACACGUCUGUAGCAAAACAGACUCACACAACACUACUCAAAAUGAACCGCAUAAUCGAUAACAAAUAUUCGGAACUACUAACUCAUGAACAAAAUACACAGCUGUAACUAUGAAAAUGUAAACAACAAAGAUCGGGCCCCGGUUCCGGACCCAGCGUACCCGCCCUACCAUGAGACGAUCACCUCCACUCGUCUCCCACAUUUUGGCCACUAGAUGGCCUAUAUUAGCCCGUGUCGGCCAUAAUGCCCACUCUCCCCAGCAAUAUUAUUUUAGCCGGACAUGAUUUCUUUCAAUAGCUGUUUAGGAUCUCAUGCAAGCGGAUAAUUCAUUAACUUCACAGAAUUAAUAUUUUUUUAUUUUUUUUUUUUUUUUUUUUACAACACUGAAUGGGACAGGCGACGGAACACUACAAGGAUAUUGCGAGUCGCCGUAAAAGAAACGCGCAAUGAGGCACUUUAGAGGCAAUCGUUGCGCCGAUUUAGGAACAAUGGCCCGCACAAUUACUUAAAACUGGAGCUCUCUGGGGGUGGUAAGGGGCGAUAUAAAUGCGUAAAUUCAAAUUAGGCGCAGAUGCAUCACCUUUGGAGUUUUCCCCCACCGUUCGCACUCUAAAGUGAAGCUCGGCGUAAGUGCCUAUGGAGUGCAAUUAGGAGUCUUCUUCUGACUCUGCCAGGGGCUCGAACGAGGAUGGG